CAGGGCAGGAGUCCAUCUGCACCCAGGAGGAGGGCGACUGCUGUCCCACCUUCCGCUGCAGACCUCAGCUGUGUUCGUACAAUGGCACCUUCUACGGGGUUGGUGCAACCUUCCCAGGCGCCCUUCCCUGCCACAUGUGUACCUGCCUCUCUGGGGACACCCAGGACCCAACGGUGCAAUGUCAGGAGGAUGCCUGCAACAAUACUACCUGUCCCCAGGGCUUUGAGUACAAGAGAGUGGCCGGGCAGUGCUGUGGGGAGUGCGUCCAGACCGCCUGCCUCACGCCCGAUGGCCAGCCAGUCCAGCUGAAUGAAACCUGGGUCAACAGCCAUGUGGACAACUGCACCGUGUACCUCUGUGAGGCUGAGGGUGGAGUCCAUUUGCUGACCCCACAGCCUGCAUCCUGCCCAGAUGUGUCCAGCUGCAGGGGGAGCCUCAGGAAAACCGGCUGCUGCUACUCCUGUGAGGAGGACUCCUGUCAAGUCCGCAUCAACACGACCAUCCUGUGGCACCAGGGCUGCGAGACCGAGGUCAACAUCACCUUCUGCGAGGGCUCCUGCCCCGGAGCGUCCAAGUACUCAGCAGAGGCCCAGGCCAUGCAGCACCAGUGCACCUGCUGCCAGGAGAGGCGGGUCCACGAGGAGACGGUGCCCUUGCACUGUCCUAACGGCUCAGCCAUCCUGCACACCUACACCCACGUGGAUGAGUGUGGCUGCACGCCCUUCUGUGUCCCUGCGCCCAUGGCUCCCCCACACACCCGUGGCUUCCCGGCCCAGGAGGCCACUGCUGUCUGAGAACGUUCUGCCUCCAUCCCCAUGCUCUGUCCACCUGGAGCCAGGAUGUGCAUUGUCUGAUCAUGAAAACCUUGGGCCUCCUCUGCGGAGCCCCCCGGCCUGUGUGUGGCACCCCGCGCUCCGUGCUCCUGCUGCCCACCCCGUGGGUGAAACCGGCCCCAGAAGGGUGAGGGGCCAGCAGGACCCCUUUCGGGAGGGCGCCACUCAGGAGUCCUACCCUGGGAGAGCCUGUGGCCCACCUUGGCCUUGCCCCUCCCUGAUGUCACUGGGACGCCCUGGAACAAACUAAGCAUGUGCGGGCCUAUGUGUCCCUGCCACGGCCGGAGCGCCCGCGCAGCACGGAUUCCAGCUGGCCACGUCCGGCCGCUGGGGCAGACAGGCUGGUCCAGGCAAGGCCAGCUGCUGCCAGGAAGCUGCGACAGGCAAGGCGGCCGCCUGUCCAUGCCUGCUGCAGGGUAACUCAGGGCUGAGGUCGCAACGGCCAGGUCAGAGAGGGGUCAGCAUCCCAAAGCCCCCUCUGCUCAACCCAGCCCAGUUUUGCAAAUAAACCCUGAGCAUUGA
rnacentral:lncRNA from 1 species